rnacentral:piRNA from 1 species
UACCUAUGGGUCCCAAGUAGGGAUGACUGG